AAAGAAUUAGUUAAAAAUAUAACAUUAAUAUGUCAUAUUAAAAUUAUUUAAAUAUAAAUAUUCUUUU
rnacentral:tRNA from 1 species